GAUGAACGCUGGCGGCGUGCCUAACACAUGCAAGUCGAGCGAAGCACUUUACUUAGAUUCUUCGGAUGAAGAGGAUUGUGACUGAGCGGCGGACGGGUGAGUAACGCGUGGGUAACCUGCCUCAUACAGGGGGAUAACAGUUAGAAAUGACUGCUAAUACCGCAUAAGACCACAGCACCGCAUGGUGCGGGGGUAAAAACUCCGGUGGUAUGAGAUGGACCCGCGUCUGAUUAGCUAGUUGGUAAGGUAACGGCUUACCAAGGCGACGAUCAGUAGCCGACCUGAGAGGGUGACCGGCCACAUUGGGACUGAGACACGGCCCAAACUCCUACGGGAGGCAGCAGUGGGGAAUAUUGCACAAUGGGGGAAACCCUGAUGCAGCGACGCCGCGUGAGCGAAGAAGUAUUUCGGUAUGUAAAGCUCUAUCAGCAGGGAAGAAAAUGACGG
rnacentral:rRNA from 1 species